rnacentral:lncRNA from 1 species
AAACUCUUGAAUACUAAAUUUAGGUGUAUUAUUGCCUUUUAAAAUAUUUAUUUGAGAUGAGGUCUCACUGUGUUGCCCGGACUGGUCUCAAAAACUCCUGGGCGCAAGUGAUCCUUCCGCCUCAGCCUCCUGAGUAGCUAGAAUGACUUUUUCUUUUUCUCUUUUUGAGAUGGAGUCUUGCUCUGUCACCCAGCCUGGAGUGCAGUGGUGCGAUCUCGGCUCACUGCAACCUCCGCCUCCUGGAUUCAAGCAAUUCUCUGUCUCAGCCUCCCAAGUGGCUGGGAUUACAGGUACCUGCCACCACACCUGGCUAAUUUUUGUUUCUGUUUUUUUGAGAUGGAGUCUAGCUCUGUCGCCAGGCUGGAAUGCAGUGGCACGAUCUUGGCUCACUGCAACCUCUACCUCCUGGGUUCAAGCAAUUCGCCUGCCUCAGCCUCCCAAGUAGCUGGGAUUACAAGCAUGCGCUGCCACGCCCAGCUAAUUUUUGUAUUUUUAGUAGAGAUGGGGUUUCACCAUGUUGGCCAGGACGGUCUCAAUCUCCUGACCUCGUGAUCCACCCACCUCAGCCUCUCAAAGUGCUGGGAUUACAGGCGUGAGCCAUUGUGCCCGGCCCUAAUUUUUGCAUUUUUAUUAGAGACAGGGUUUCACCAUCUUGGCCAGGCUGUUCUUGAACUCCCACCUCGGCCUCCCAAAGUGCUGGGAUUACAGGCGUG